UGACUGUUCUUUGGCAUUGAUCAGUACUCCUCAAAUUUGUUACCUAAGUUUUUAAAUUAUAAUCUCAAAGGUUUAAAGUUAAAAUCACCUAGGCUUAGGUAUUAAUCACUUAUUAUUGAUGGUAUGAUCAUGAAGAUUUAAAUAUGUUUGGGACGAACCACAGUCUAGUUGAGUACUUUGUUAUGUCAGACUUUUAAGAAAAUUAAAAUAAGGGCAUUCGUACGUUCCUGCUUCAUCAUAUAAAUGUAUUAACUUGUGUUCACAAUACUUAAUAAUUAGCAAUCAUUGCUCUGAUUGUUUACCAGUUCAUUUAUUUGUUGUUGUUGUUGUUGUUGUUGUUGUUGUUGUUAUCAUUAUUAUUAUUAUUGAGGGGGAGGGGGGGUUUAACUGUCCGUGGACUUUUAGACCCCGGCAUUUUACUUGGUAAGAGUAAUAUAUAAUAGUAAAUCUCUGCAUUAGGACCACACUCUGAUUCUCUUCUUUAACUUUCUUGAUAUUUUUCCCGAGGCCUGAACCUUUAUUUUUUCAAUCAUUUUGCAAAUAAAAUUAUGCAUCAAAUUUGAUUAAAUAUAUUACUAGUCAAACAAAACUUAAUCCCCUAUGAUUCAUAGAGCUAAAUCCGCUACUGGUACCUUCUUUGUCAAAUUAUCAUUUUUGGAGUUUUGUUGUAUUGCAGCUUCUUAGUUACGGAAAUGCUCCGUAACUGCUUUUCAUUCCUGCUGUAUGCUACUCUGUAUUGUCAUCCCCGAGUGUAUAGCUAUUUUAUAAGUUAUAUCUGCCGACUGCCGUAUGAUUAGUAGUCUUCUGUGGGAAGUUGUCAUGUUCUCAUAGUUUUAUCUUUGGCUUUUUGUGCAUGUCUGUGUGUAACUUGUUGAAAUAGAAUCCAUCUACAAAUAGAUAUCUUGUAUACUGUGGAUAGAUAACAAUAAAAAGAGCAGACUUAUAUGUUUGAUAUCUCCAUUUGUCUCCACAUUUACCCNNNNNNNNNNNNNNNNNNNNNNNNNNNNNNNNNNNNNNNNNNNNNNNNNNNNNNNNUUCCCCCCCCCCCCCCCCCCCCUCUCACGCACUCACUCCAGGACUAUCACUCUCUCCCUUGUGAAUGUAUAGUUGAUAAAAAUAUCUUGCAAUAAUGAUAAUAGAUAUUCGACGUCUAAGACUUACCUUAGAACUGCCUUGUUUCUUGGUUUCAAAAAACAACUCUGUAAAUUGUCUGGUACCCUAUUUUGUGGAACCAUUUUACUGCAAUUUGCAGUGUUUUUCCAAUUAUCACGAAGAACUUUAAGAUAUAUAUGUAGAAAGUGGAACAUAUAUUUUUGUCUUUAAAGUUUGAGGCGAGAGCAACUAAAAAUUGACGUGAUGUAGUUCCUUUAAUUUCUCCUUCAUACUCACGAAAUAGUUAAUAAGCAGAGGAUAUUUGCAUUGAGUCUGAUGAGAGCUUUUUAGUUCCUAAUUGAUAAGAUUAAAUUAGGGAUAAUAGCAUCAUUAUCAGUAAUAUUUUUACCAAUUAUUUUCAGUCUUCUUCCUGGCUCAUCUCCUUGUAAGGUGAUGAUCACUUCUCUUUUAGUUUGGUUUUGUCAAACUUGCUGAUUAAUUUGGAUGUUUUUAUCUUCGAACCUAAUAUGCGAGUUUCUCUGGUUUAAUAUUUAUUUCAU
rnacentral:lncRNA from 1 species